GACGAGCGCUGGCGGCGUGCUUAACACAUGCAAGUCGAACGCUGAAGCUUGGUGCUUGCACUGGGUGGAUGAGUGGCGAACGGGUGAGUAAUACGUGAGUAACCUGCCCUUGACUCUGGGAUAAGCCUGGGAAACUGGGUCUAAUACUGGAUACGACAUGUCACCGCAUGGUGGUGUGUGGAAAGGGUUUUACUGGUUUUGGAUGGGCUCACGGCCUAUCAGCUUGUUGGUGGGGUAAUGGCUCACCAAGGCGACGACGGGUAGCCGGCCUGAGAGGGUGACCGGCCACACUGGGACUGAGACACGGCCCAGACUCCUACGGGAGGCAGCAGGGGGGAAUAUUGCACAAUGGGCGGAAGCCUGAUGCAGCGACGCCGCGUGAGGGAUGACGGCCUUCGGGUUGUAAACCUCUUUCAGCACGGAAGAAGCGAAAGUGACGGUACGUGCAGAAGAAGCGCCGGCUAACUACGUG
rnacentral:rRNA from 1 species